rnacentral:rRNA from 1 species
AUUGAACGCUGGCGGCAGGCCUAACACAUGCAAGUCGAGCGAGCGGCGGACGGGUGAGUAAUGUCUGGGAAACUGCCUGAUGGCGGUGGAUAACUACUGGAAACGGUAGCUAAUACGGCAUACCAUCAGAUGUGCCAAGAUGGGAUUAGCUAGUAGGUGGGGUAAUGGCUCACCUAGGCGAAGAUCCCUAGCUGGUCUGAGAGGUUGACCAGCCACACUGGGACUGAGACACGGUCCAGACGCCUACGGGAGGCAGCUGUGGGGAAGAUUGCACAAUGGGAGCAAGCCUGAUGCAGCAAUGCCGCGUGUGUGAAGAAGGCCUUCGUGUUGUAAAGCACUUUCGGCGGGGAGGCGUUACCCGCAGAAGAAGCACCGGCUAACUCCGGGCCAGCCGCCGCGGUAAUAC